CAUGCCCUGGUUGCAAGCAGCAUCCUCUCCUUUUCCAUUCACGCAAGAAGAAGGUACAAGGGAUUCGUGGAACGAGUUUACUACCUCUUGAUAGUGGUAGAUUGAUAACAAGAGAGUAUCGUAAAACACUUAUGGCAGUGUGAUAACGAUGUAACCUGAAAUUAUUAUACACCACGGUUGGUAUAUACGUUGGGUAAGGGAAAGCGAUUUGGAUAACAGAAGAAAUAGCAGAUGUCAACGUAUAUUUAGAAAGAUGCCGUAGAUACAGACAAAAUUGAAAAACAGUUCAAUAACCAGACGAUAAAGUAUAUCGUAUGUGUUACGUGUGUAUUAAUAAGCGGCUUGAGUGUGGAGGACAAAUUUAAGAGAGGCAACGCCUCCGAAUAUGUCCCUGACCCGCGUAAAAACCUUCCGAAUGUCUAGCACGGCAAAAAUGUUUUAAUCAUGGCACGAGUCGUAACACGUUCGAGGAGAAGAUUUACGCGAUACGUA